rnacentral:rRNA from 1 species
CAAAAUCCGGGAUUCUAAGGCCGAGAGCUGAUGACGAGUGUUCUUUUAGAACACGAAGUGGUUGAUGCCAUGCCUCCAAGAAAAGCUUCUAGGCUUCAGGUAACCAGGAACCGUACCCCAAACCGACACAGGUGGUUGGGUAGAGAAUACCAAGGCGCUUGAGAGAACUCGGGUGAAGGAACUAGGCAAAAUGGCACCGUAACUUCGGGAGAAGGUGCGCCGGUGAGGGUGAAGCAUUUACUGCGUAAGCCCAUGCCGGUCGAAGAUACCAGGCCGCUGCGACUGUUUAUUAAAAACACAGCACUCUGCAAACACGAAAGUGGACGUAUAGGGUGUGACGCCUGCCCGGUGCCGGAAGGUUAAUUGAUGGGGUUAGCUAACGCGAAGCUCUUGAUCGAAGCCCCGGUAAACGGCGGCCGUAACAAUAACGGUCCUAAGGUAGCGAAAUUCCUUGUCGGGUAAGUUCCGACCUGCACGAAUGGCGUAACGAUGGCGGCGCUGUCUCCACCCGAGACUCAGUGAAAUUGAAAUCGCUGUGAAGAUGCAGUGUAUCCGCGGCUAGACGGAAAGACCCCGUGAACCUUUACUAUAGCUUUGCACUGGACUUUGAAUUUGCUUGUGUAGGAUAGGUGGGAGGCCUUGAAGCGUGGACGCCAGUUCGCGUGGAGCCAACCUUGAAAUACCACCCUGGCAACUUUGAGGUUCUAACUCAGGUCCGUUAUCCGGAUCGAGGACAGUGUAUGGUGGGUAGUUUGACUGGGGCGGUCUCCUCCUAAAGAGUAACGGAGGAGUACGAAGGUGCGCUCAGACCGGUCGGAAAUCGGUCGUAGAGUAUAAAGGCAAAAGCGCGCUUGACUGCGAGACAGACACGUCGAGCAGGUACGAAAGUAGGUCUUAGUGAUCCGGUGGUUCUGUAUGGAAGGGCCAUCGCUCAACGGAUAAAAGUUACUCCGGGGGUAACAGGCUGAUACCGCCCAAGAGUUCAUAUCGACGGCGGUGUUUGGCACCUCGAUGUCGGCUCAUCACAUCCUGGGGCUGAAGCCGGUCCCAAGGGUAUGGCUGUUCGCCAUUUAAAGUGGUACGCGAGCUGGGUUUAGAACGUCGUGAGACAGUUCGGUCCCUAUCUGCCGUGGACGUUUGAGAUUUGAGAGGGGCUGCUCCUAGUACGAGAGGACCGGAGUGGACGAACCUCUGGUGUUCCGGUUGUCACGCCAGUGGCAUUGCCGGGUAGCUAUGUUCGGAAUAGAUAACCGCUGAAAGCAUCUAAGCGGGAAACUAGCCUCAAGAUGAGAUCUCACUGGGACCUUGAGUCCCCUGAAGGGCCGUCGAAGACUACGACGUUGAUAGGUUGGGUGUGUAAGCGCUGUGAGGCGUUGAGCUAACCAAUACUAAUUGCCCGUGAGGCUUGACC